GAUGAACGCUGGCGGCGUGCUUAACACAUGCAAGUCGAGCGAUGAAAGCCUUAUGAACUAUUCGUAGUGAUUGGGGCCGGAUUAGCGGCGGACGGGUGAGUAACGCGUGAGCAACCUGCCUUAAACAACGGGAUAGCCUCGGGAAACCGGGAUUAAUACCGUAUGAGACCCCGCCUUCACAUGAAGAAGAGGUUAAAGAUUUAUCGGUUUAAGAUGGGCUCGCGUCUGAUUAGCUAGUUGGUGAGAUAAAAGCCCACCAAGGCAACGAUCAGUAACCGGCUUGAGAGAGUGAACGGUCACAUUGGAACUGAGACACGGUCCAAACUCCUACGGGAGGCAGCAGUGGGGAAUAUUGCACAAUGGGGGAAACCCUGAUGCAGCGACGCCGCGUGAGCGAUGAAGGAAUUCGUUUCAUAAAGCUCUGUCCAAGGGGAAGAUAAUGACAGUACCCUUGGAGGAAGCCCCGGCUAAAUACGUGCCAGCCGCCGCCGUAAAAC
rnacentral:rRNA from 1 species